GACGAACGCUGGCGGCGUGCUUAACACAUGCAAGUCGAACGGAAAGGCCUCUUUCGGGGGGUACUCGAGUGGCGAACGGGUGAGUAACACGUGAGUAACCUGCCCUUGACUUUGGGAUAACUUCAGGAAACUGGGGCUAAUACCGGAUAGGAGCUCCUGCUGCAUGGUGGGGGUUGGAAAGUUUCGGCGGUUGGGGAUGGACUCGCGGCUUAUCAGCUUGUUGGUGGGGUAGUGGCUUACCAAGGCUUUGACGGGUAGCCGGCCUGAGAGGGUGACCGGCCACAUUGGGACUGAGAUACGGCCCAGACUCCUACGGGAGGCAGCAGUGGGGAAUAUUGCACAAUGGGUGGAAGCCUGAUGCAGCAACGCCGUGUGCGGGAUGACGGCCUUCGGGUUGUAAACCGCUUUCACUCAUGACGAAGCUUUGUGUGACGGUAGUGGGUAAAGAAGCACCGGCUAACUACGUG
rnacentral:rRNA from 1 species